rnacentral:rRNA from 1 species
CACGUAGGGCGCAAGCGUUGUCCGGAAUUAUUGGGCGUAAAGCGCGCGUAGGCGGCCCGAUAAGUCCGCUGUGAAAGUCAACGGCUCAACUGUUGGAUGCCGGUGGAUACUGUCGGGCUAGAGUACGGAAGAGGCAAGUGGAAUUCCUGGUGUAGCGGUGGAAUGCGCAGAUAUCAGGAGGAACACCUAUAGCGAAGGCAGCUUGCUGGGACGUUACUGACGCUAAGGCGCGAAAGCGUGGGGAGCAAACAGG